AAACUAGGAACAGAGAACUCAGUGUAAGAACAACUUGUAUCCCCAGGAGGGAUGCACACGGUCUGGGUGGGAGAAGGCACUGCCUGAAGGUUUUGAGAGGAGGUGUCCAGAAUGGACGCCAGUGCUGUUGACACCUGAGCCCUCCUGGGUGCCAACAGAUGGAAGACUGCACCAUGUUAUGAAAAUAAGGUGAGUCACUUAUCACGGUUGCUUCCUGGGUUCAGGUCUGCAAAGUCAGUGAAGCAGAGGCCCCUGGAGGAAUCCUCACCUGGAGAAACAAGCAUGAGAACCUCGUCACUCCAGCUCAGCCCGGGAUUCUGGUCUCGUCUCUCGGUUGGAUGCAGGGCGUGUAGGACACUGUGAACCCAACCAGGAGCCAGACAGAACCGCCCAGCCAUCACAUGGCCACAGAGGCCUGCUGGGAGAAGGAAAUAAAUCUAUGAUAAGCCUCUCAGUCAGAGAAUCAUUCACUUACUCCAUGGCUCUGCAUUUUCAAUACCUUUUAAUAAAUUCUUUUAAAAUGAGCUAAUUUCAGCGUGACUUUCAGCAUCAGGAGCAGACCAUUUAUCAGCGGGAUAAACAGGAGUCCGUGGACCGGUCCACACUGGCAGCGUUUCCAGUCGUUCCAGGAUGGCUCGUGUUACUCGUCAAAUGACUUUCUAAGAAGGAGGAGAAGCGCAGCACAGAGUCAAGAGCGUCAGUUCAAGGGCACAGACACCUUUGCGCUCGGCAGUGAGCGCGGCCUGAGAUGCUCUGGGCCCUCAGCCGGCCUUGUGGUGCCUCCCUCCCUCAUGUACUCUUCCACCUGUGACACCUGGAAUCUGCUCACUGCCUCUUGCCCU
rnacentral:lncRNA from 1 species